CUCUUCAGAAUCGGUGUCACCAAUACUGAAGGCGAGUCGAAAGGUCUGACCCUCAUCUGUUUCGCUUGUUUCCAAAUGCUCGACCUUCACAAUGCCAAAGCCUGGAACAUGUCGUGAGAAAUCUCCUUGCAGAUAAUCAGUGCCGCCAACGCUGUGCCCCUGGGCAUAACAUGUGGGAGAAAAUUCAGCAUGUGCUUUGAGCUUAGCAGGGUUCCGCACUGAAUUCAGCACUUGCAAGAGAACUUGCCAUGUCACCUGAGUGCCUCCUGUCAAGCUAUAGUCUCUCACUUGAUUUGAGUUGUCUGAAGGCUUGUUCAUGCACAAACCAGCACUCCCUUGCAUUGGUUGUGUGGAUGUCAGCAGGACAACUGCCCGCUGAAAGAAUCCU
rnacentral:lncRNA from 1 species